UACGAAGGGGGCUAGCGUUGUUCGGAAUCACUGGGCGUAAAGCACGUGUAGGCGGCUUUGCAAGUCGGGUGUGAAAGCCCUCAGCUCAACUGAGGAAGUGCGCCCGAAACUGCAGAGCUUGAGUGCCGGAGAGGGUGGCGGAAUUCCCCAAGUAGAGGUGAAAUUCGUAGAUAUGGGGAGGAACACCGGUGGCGAAGGCGGCCACCUGGACGGUAACUGACGCUGAGACGCGAAAGCGUGGGGAGCAAACGGG
rnacentral:rRNA from 1 species